AUGUUCACUCCGGCAGCAUAUAUACUAUAACUAGAACAAUGAAGAGAUUAGGAUAGCCCCUGUGCAAGGAUGGCACAAAUUCAUGAAGCAUUUCAUAUUUGA